GUGUCAGCAGCCGCGGUAAAACGUAGGAGGCGAGCGUUAUCCGGAUUUACUGGGUGUAAAGCGCGAGCAGGCGGUGGUGCAAGUCAUGUGUGAAAGCGCUCAGGCUCAACCGGGCGAGGACGGGUGAGACUGCACCACUGGAGGCAGGUAGAGGCGGAUGGAAUUCCGGGUGUAGUGGUGAAAUGCGUAGAGAUCCGGAGGAACACCAGUGGCGAAGGCGGUCCGCUGGGCCUGGCCUGACGCUCAGACGCGAAAGCAUGGGGAGCGAACGGGAUUAGAAACCCUUGUAGUCC
rnacentral:rRNA from 1 species